UCCCAGGAAGUUCACUAUUUCCAGCAAGGGAACCAAACAGCCACUCUGGAGUCAGAGUGACGCUGGAGGAUAAUUCUCGGUGGCUCAUCCAUAAAGGACCGGACAACGCACCGCCAGGGUCCCAUCAGACGGUGGUGACCAGAGCUGAAAACAUGAGCCCGAGGUGGACGGAAACUGGAGUCACCCGAGAUUUUAACGGGCAGAAGACCAUGUCUGACUUUGUUGGAGCUGGAGGAAAAGAUUACAAACUGUUUGGUGCCAACUGUCACGAUGCAAAGGAUGCCAUGAUGAAUCAGAAAUAAAACCGAGCUCAGUUUUAUUCUGAGGAGUGAA